rnacentral:lncRNA from 1 species
CAAUGUGAAGAUUGGUCACAAAGGAAUUCUUCACUGAGAUAUAGGGUGAAUAAACCAACUUUUGUGCAGGCAGCUGCUGGGGAUUGAAAUGUUAUUUGAUCGAAGGAUAUUUACGGAAGGUUAGAGAUGCAUGACGUAUGCAUGAUGCUGAUGCAAUGUGAUUUAUUCUUAUUUUUCAACAGGCUCUCUGUUUUUUUUUGUGAGCAAGCUUUUCAUUUUUCUUUGUACCUUUUUUUUCUUUUCAAAACUCUUAGGCAAGCACUGAGAACAUUUUUCCGCCGGGAAGAAAUGGGUGAAAGAUUUUUUGAAACAUGGUUUACCAAGUGGAACCUAGACUUUAAUUUUUGUUUAUGACUGAGAAGAAAGAAAGGGAAGGAGACCAAACACCAUUCGUCUUUACUAAAGGAUGAGUUCCGAAGUUG